UCCAGCUGCAAAUCAGGGUUUACAACCCCCGGGGAUUUUUUGUGUGUGAGUGGGUGCGUUAAAUUGCUGUAAAAUGAUGUCCACAGACAUUCUAAGCAGACCACAGCACUUUGAUGGAAGCCAGGGUCUGAAUCAAAACCACCUCAUUUCCCCCCAACCCCGUCGCCCCCUCAGACUUGUCUGGAUCCCAUCAGAAAUGUGUUAAUCACAGAGAAAUGACAUACAUCUCUACUCUGAGGUACGUAUAAAUUUAGCAUGACAUGGCGAGAGACCCAGUGCUCCACACUCAGCAGAAGGUUGUGCUUGCUGGCAGCCCGGGGAGCUUCGAGUCUCUCUGUGAUGCCCGGGGCUCUGGCGAUAACCUCCAGCAGCGGCUCCCGCGGCUUCCCAGCCCUGAAGCUGUGCCCUUAGUGGGCGUUAAGUUUCUUUUGCUUGGCUUUGCUAUGUGAAAGUAAUAGUUAAUGCUUGUGUUAGGAGGGAAAACUCCACUUUGUCUUUUCUUUUUCCCCUGGCAAGAGGAGGAGUGACGAUGGAAAGCAGUUUUCCAAACUUCCUGAAGCGUGGUGUGGUCACAUGCUGGGGGCUGUUUUGUACGGAAGGCACGGCCAGUCGGUACAACUGCGUGUAGUAGUCGGAAUCUGGUCUGAGAGAUGUGCAGAGCUGCCAGCCGUGGAAGGACAUGCUUCUUCAAGGCCUGGGGCAGAGGCGGAGGGAGGAUUGCUGGCUGCCUUUCCCGAGUUGUUCCCGAGGCAGGACUGCUCUUGGGAAUCAGGCACCCAAACCAGGCUGGGAUUCCUGGAAGAGAGCUCGCUGGUGUCCUGUUGUCUGCAAUGCCUCUGGGAGUGAAUUCUGGGAAGAAUCUGCUUUGGUUUUAAGCUGUAUGGUGCCGCCUCCUCUCCCAUUAUCACUCUCCGGUUUCAAUGGCCCCAUUGUGCUGCCUGUACUGGCACUUCGCUUGGUUUGAAGCGUGGGGAAGAAGUUGCUCCAUCCCUCUAGUUUGCUUCUGUCACUCACGGCGCUGACCUUCUGCCCGGGAGCUCUUUGAGAGCAGUGGCUAUUCCUCCUGCCGGCACACCUGAGCGAGCUGCCGCGCUGCCCUCCUGCCGCCCCGGGGCUCCUGCCCUCGCGCCGCUCUGCCUUCCUCCCGUGCUGUCGUGGCUGAGAGGAGUCUCUUCGUGGGUCCUGUGUCUUUAGUACCUCGGCACGCGAGAUUUCUGUCAGGACUUUUUCCUUGUGAGACUGUUGGCUUCCACCAAUGGUUGAGAAAGAACAUGAAAAAAAUUCUGAUGAUGCAAAAAACGUUGUGGAGUAGAAUUAUCUUAAUGUAAUUACUUUCUGACUGCAGUAAACCCUUUCCAUUGU